rnacentral:rRNA from 1 species
GAUGAACGCUGGCGGCGUGCUUAACUCAUGCAAGUCGAACGAAGCACUUUGAAAGCUUGCUUUCGAAGUGACUGAGUGGCGGACGGGUGAGUAACGCGUGGAUAACCUGCCUCACACAGGGGGAUAACAGUUAGAAAUGACUGCUAAUACCGCAUAAGCCCACGGUACCGCAUGGUACAGAGGGAAAAGAUUUUAUCGGUGUGAGAUGGAUCCGCGUCUGAUUAGCUAGUUGGUGGGGUAACGGCCCACCAAGGCGACGAUCAGUAGCCGACUUGAGAGGGUGACCGGCCACAUUGGGACUGAGACACGGCCCAAACUCCUACGGGAGGCAGCAGUGGGGAAUAUUGCACAAUGGGCGCAAGCCUGAUGCAGCGACGCCGCGUGAGUGAAGAAGUAUUUCGGUAUGUAAAGCUCUAUCAGCAGGGAAGAUAAUGACAGUACCUGACUAAGAAGCUCCGGCUAAAUACGUGCCAGCAGCCGCCGUAAUAC